rnacentral:rRNA from 1 species
ACACUCCUGCGGGAGGCAGCAGUGGGGAAUUUUGGACAAUGGGCGAAAGCCUGAUCCAGCAAUGCCGCGUGAGUGAAGAAGGCCCUCGGGUUGUAAAGCUCUUUUGUCAGGGAAGAAACGGUGAAAGCUAAUAUCUUUUGCUAAUGACGGUACCUGAAGAAUAAGCACCGGCUAACUACGUGCCAGCAGCCGCGGUAAUACGUAGGGUGCAAGCGUUAAUCGGAAUUACUGGGCGUAAAGCGUGCGCAGGCGGUUUUGUAAGUCUGAUGUGAAAUCCCCGGGCUCAACCUGGGAAUUGCAUUGGAGACUGCAAGGCUAGAAUCUGGCAGAGGGGGGUAGAAUUCCACGUGUAGCAGUGAAAUGCGUAGAUAUGUGGAGGAACACCGAUGGCGAAGGCAGCCCCCUGGGUCAAGAUUGACGCUCAUGCACGAAAGCGUGGGGAGCAAACAGGAUGAGAAACCCCAGUAGUCCCAUGAU